CUUUAGCCCCCGAUUGAAGUGAAAAUCCUUUUGUGCCAGCGUUCGGCACAAAAGAUUGCAACGGAAAGCGGAACAAUCC
rnacentral:sRNA from 1 species